AGCUCCAAUAGCGUAUAUUAAAGUUGUUGCAGUUAAAAAGCUCGUAGUUGGAUUUCUGGUGGUAGCGUUGGGCCGGCCCUAAGGGUCUGUGCUCAAAUGUUUACUGCCAUCCUUCAGUGGAUCUUGUCUGGCAUUCAGUUGUCGGGCUUGGAAAGCUGAUCGUUUACUGUGAAAAAAUUAGAGUGUUCAAAGCAGGCUUAUGCCGUUGAAUACAUUAGCAUGGAAUAAUAAGAUAGGACCCUGGUACUAUUUUGUUGGUUUGCGUACCUAGGUAAUGAUUAAUAGGGACAGUUGGGGGUAUUCGUAUUCCGUUGUCAGAGGUGAAAUUCUUGGAUUUACGGAAGACGAACUACUGCGAAAGCAUUUACCAAGGAUGUUUUCA
rnacentral:rRNA from 1 species